UUUCUUGUUGUUUUUCUUUUCCAGUACUUUUGCGGUAAGCGACUUUAAUGUAAAAAAAGCUUGAGCAUUCCGGCAGUGUAAAUUUUUCGUAAUAAAAAGAACUUUCAAACAAUUUAUGAAUAAUUAUUUAAAAAACUAAAGUGAGAAAUUAAAACAUAAAAGAAUAAUUGAGUAAAAGUAAAUGCCUGUUAUAGUUUUGUACAAAAUUGACGACUGAAAACAGAAAUCUGCCUUCGACAAAAGAAAUCGAAUAAGUUAACACACAAAAACCAACGUCAUCAAUAAAUAAUCUAUUGAAACAAACAACCUUCACUAGAAAAUAAAGAAAGAAAGCAGCUACUAAAGAAAGCAAAUUUUGCUCUGAUAGAACCAUUAAAAUCUAAACAGAGACUACUACGAAACGUGUAAAUAUUAAAAGUGAGAGGAAGAAAAACCAUGCUAACGAACUCUCUUGCCCAUGAUAGAGUCUCUCUAGAAAACAAGUUUAGUAGCAGACUAACGAUCACCUAGUAGAUGUGCAAAAAAAAAAAACAAAUUUCUUUGGAUAAAACCUAUUGGUAUACAAUAACUACAAACCUUUGACGUGAAACCACCGGACAUUUAAUUUUUAAAUAUAUUCAUUUAGUAAUCACACAACCACGGAACUCGUUAAACAGCGCGGCGUUUUUCUAUUGUUUUCUUUUCAUUAACGACAUAAAUUUAAAGGCAGAGAUACAAACCUAAUGUGUCAUCAGCAACAAUUUGGUUAUCAGUAAAUUGUUGAAAGAAAUAAAAAAGUCUAGUAAAUUAUUUAUAUAAAAAGAAUAAUAGAACAAACAGUGCCAAAAGACCACCAUAAACAAUUUAAGAAAAGAAAAAGUUUUUAAAUAAUAAAAUAAAAAACGUGUACGCCGGGGCUUACAGAUCUUACAGACUUAAACCAUAAAACAAAUACAUAAAGUCGUUACAAUAAUAAAAAAAAGUUUGCAUUGUUGGCAAAUUAAAUUCAGUGUGAUUUCUAAACAAAAUUAUAAAAAUUUAAAUGCUUUAAAAAAAUCU